rnacentral:tRNA from 1 species
GCCUUCGGGGUGUAACUGUAGCUCACUCGGCUCGUAUUCGAGAGGUCUAGGUUCGAGUCCCAGCGAGGGCA